rnacentral:tRNA from 1 species
GGCCUGGCAUAGUGGUUUGAGCACUGGACUGUGACUCUGGAGACCAGGGUUCGAAUCCCAGCUCGGCCA